CUUCACCAGCAGGAACCGGAAUUAGAGCACACGAAUAAUAUCAUUCGCUUUAUCGGGUACGGUGGCCCUCUGAGCUCAAUUCAGCUUGCAAGACUAUAGCCACUAUUUUUUUUUUUUGCAAUCCUUCGUUCAUUUUGGCUCUGAGCUGUUCCUACUAGCUGAAAGUCUUUUUGAGUUUCUCUUGAGACGCAACUGAACUCGCAGACAGAUCUUGUUGAUGGCUCCGAAGAGGAAGAGAACAUCAGGAACAACCUACCAGGUCUUCCUGAGCUUCAGAGGACCCGACACCCGUCAGGGUUUCACAGAUGUCCUUUACCAUACUCUCGUAGAUGCCGGGAUUCAUGUUUUCAGAGACAAUGAGGAGAUCCGGAAAGGCGAGGAUAUUGGUGAAGAAAUCCUGAGAGCCAUCGAGGAAUCCAGGAUCUUCGUGCCAAUCUUCUCCACCAACUAUGCUUCCAGUAAGUGGUGCCUGAUCGAACUCGCCAAGAUGUUCGAGUCCAAGAAGGCAUCGAUUGGCAAGAAGACCAUUCUGCCCAUUUUCUAUGACGUGGGCGUGCACGAUGUCAAGCUCAAGACGAAGCUGUACGCUGAAGCUCUGAGUACACUCGAACACGAGAAGAAGUGCAGUCACAGAGAAGUGAAGCAAUGGAAGAAGGCGCUUCGAAAAGCUGGAAAAAUCAAGGGAUGGGAACUGAAUGAUAAAGGCUAUGGAGAAUUUGCUAGGUCCUUUGCCAGAGAGGUUUCCAUGAAGUUGAAGGUGAAGCAUAAAUGUGUGACGGACUAUCUAGUCCAAAGGGAUGAUCAAGUGGAAGGUCUCAUGGAGCUUUUAGAUAUUGAAUCAACUGAAGUACGUUUUGUUGGGAUCCAUGGGAUGGGCGGGAUUGGAAAAACUACUCUAGCAAAGCUUGUCUUCAAUAAGCUCUGCGAUCGUUUUGAUAGUUGUAGCUUCCUUGCUGAUGUUCGAGAAUCAGACCGGCAGCAUAAGGGUGUUGGACUUUUGCAGAGAAAACUGCUGGGCGAUCUUGGUCUCGGAUCAGGGGAAAUUAUGGAUGUGGAUGAUGGGAUCAAAAGGAUGAGUGAAAGACUUGCCCAUAAGAAAGUUCUAAUUGUUCUUGAUGAUGUAGAUCACAGGGAUCAAAUCCACGAUCUAGCAGGGGAUGCUAGUUGGUUCGGUUCUGGAAGCAGAAUUCUUAUCACUACCCGGAACCAGCGUGUUCUAGAGAUCAUACCACAGAGAGUUCACAUUUUGAAAGUGGAGGAAAUGAAACCUGAAGAAGCUCUUCGACUUUUCAGCAUGCAUGCCUUUGAAAAGGACUCCCCUCCGAACGAUGACUUCCUCAAACUCACACAGAAGGCUGUUGCAAGAAGCGGCCGACUUCCUUUGGCUUUGGAGGUCAUAGGUUCACUUCUUCGGGACAAACCUCGUAGAGUAUGGGUUGGCACAAUCAAGAGGUUGAAGGGGGUACCUCACCCAGAUGUCCAAGCAAAGCUAAUGAUUAGCUACGAAGCUUUAGAUCAUAGCACAAAAGAGAUAUUUCUCGACAUUGCGUGUUUUUUCAUCGAUCAUGACAAAAGAUAUGCAAGUUACAUGUGGAAAGCUUGCAAGUUCGAUCCAAAGAUGGGACUGAAAGUGCUCGUCCAGAUGUCCAUGGUAAAAAUCAUAAAAGAAUACCAAGUGUGGACCAAAUUAUGGAAUAAAAAUUUAUGGAUGAAAAAAUUAUGGAUGCACGAUCAGCUGCGGGACCUCGGAAGGAAUAUCAUCGCUGCUCAGGGUUUCAAGAACAUUGUAAAGUGCAGCAGAUUAUGGAUGCCCGAGGAUGCUUUAGAAGCACUCCAGCAAGACGAGAACAAACGAAAAAUCGAGAUGCUACGCGUUCGCUCUUAUGAUUACUUAAAAGAUGGGAAAGAACUUUCUAGUCUCCGAAACUUGAGAUAUCUGGAAUGCUCUGGAGCAAACUUUUCAGGAGACCUGAAGCAUCUGCCGAAGCUAAUGUGGCUUUGUUGGCAACGUUGUCCCACGGAAUUCAUGGGAACUGAUUUAUAUUUGAGGAAUCUUGUCAUUCUUGACCUCUCGGAUAGUUUUAUACGCGAAACUUGGGGUGGAUGGAGCCAGAUUGGGACGGGAAACAGCUUGAAAGUUCUUGACCUUAGCAAUUGCCAUUGCUUGAAAAAAACGCCUGAUUUUUCUAAGUAUUCGAGCCUAGAGAGGUUGAUUCUUCGGGGGUGCACGAAGCUGGUUGAAAUACAUCCAUCGAUUGGUAAGUUGAGAGGCCUAAAACAAUUGGAUCUCGCCUAUUGCUUGUCUCUGAAAGGCUUGCCCGAAGAAUUAUGUUGCCCAGAAUUAAUUGAUAUAGACAACGUCAAAUUACCUCAGACAAUUGAACGACCAAUGAAGCUUGAGGUCCUCAAUUUGGGUAAAUGUGAACGGCUGAAGAAGCUUCCAGAUUCACUGGGAUAUCUGAGAUCACUGAUUGAGUUAGAUCUAUUGGAUACAAGAAUUACUAUACUACCUGAUACUAUUGGGAAACUAAAGAAGUUGGCUAGGUUGGAUAUAUCGAGAACGCGAAUUACUGAACUACCUAAUUCUAUUGGGAAACUAAAGAAGCUGAGAGUGAUCAGGAUGACAGGAAUUAUGAUUGAGGAGUUGCCAUCCUCCAUCAGGAAGCUGAAGAGGCUUGAAGUGCUGGAUGCUGAGCAGUGUAAGUCACUCGCAAAGAUUCCAUUAGAAAUCGAGGAGCUCACCUGCUUGAGGGUCUUGAAUUUAAUAGAAACGAAUGUGUGUCAAUUGCCGCCAAAGCUUCCCACCAGUUUGACCGAACUCCAUGUCUCCCCAACUCGACUGCAAAGACUCUUGGAGCUCUCUGGAUAUCAAUCAGAUAUCCAAAGACAACCUUCCAAGUUGAGGGGGAUCGCGAAGCUUCGCAAAAUAGUGGAUUUGACAUUGGUUAUGAACAUCACUUCCAUUUCUAAGAAGUUCAGUUCCCUCUCUCAGCUACAGGAACUUGCUUUGAAGUGCGCACAUUUGGAGUCUUGCCCACCUCUUCCAUCCAGCCUGUCGAAGUUGACUCUUUAUAGACUUCAUGAAAGGACCAAACUGCCACAACUUUCUAAUUUGAAAAGUCUGUCAUGGUUAGAGUUCUGCGAAUGCUCUAUGGAAGGUGAUACUGUUGGAGACCUUGGAAUCGCAGAGUUGGACUCCUUGAGUUACAUCAAUUUCGAGUAUUGCAACUUGAGAAAUCUCGAUUGGUUACGCCUGCCAGAAAGUCUAUGUAAACUGGGAAUAUCUGCUUGUUCCAAUUUCAACACUGUAUCUGUUCUAUCACAUUUAAAGAACUUGAAAGAAUUGGAUGUUUUGUCCGCAUCAGAGCUAGUCGAGAUCCGGGAGCUGGGGGAAUUGGAGUCCUUGCAAAUAUUACGUAUUAUUCGUUGUCAUAACUUGAAGAGAUUAAAGAACCUGUCGAAGUUGAAAAGGCUAAAAACAAUUUUGAUAAGGGAUUGUCGAAAUUUCAUAGGCAUUAAAGACAGCAGCAAAUUGAAAUCCCUGGAAGCUCUUCACAUACAAGAUUGUGAUUGCGAAGAAGUAAACAUCAUCAGGCGAAAUAGGCAAGUAGUCCAGGAAGCGGCGCUUUGAAGAUUUGGAUGGAGGUGAUUGAAUUCAGCAACUCUGAACUCAACUUACUUACGAACAAUUUGGUUUAAUCUCUAUCUUGCGAUAGUUCAAAAGAUGAUGGCAAGUACUCACGAGGACGUCCAUAAGUGGUUAAUCCCGCGAAUGAGAGAAUGCUCGGAGGCGGUGGUGCGGAGGGCGGUACUUGUCUGAUAGCUUGGUCUACUCGCUGUAUCAUUACAAGCUGCUCUACUAACCUCAACUAAUUGGGUUUUGUAUUAGCCAUACACCGAGCUGCGGGACCGGAACUUUUAGAAGCUUGUUAUAGGGUCCUAGAAGCCCGCCCAGGAAUCCGGUGCCCUACAGGUGAAGCUAGGAUCAAUCAUACUUGUAGCACUCAAUAUAUGCUUGCAAUGUGCGGAGGAUUCAAAUUGCCUGCAUCCCACGUUAUACACACGGUUGGCCCGAUCUAUGACACUGACAAAAAUCCCCAAGAAUCCCUUAGAAGUGCCUACAAGAACAGCCUUGCCGUGGCCAAAGAGAACAACAUCCAGUACAUCGCGUUUCCAGCUAUAUCCUGUGGUGUAUAUGGAUAUCCAUAUGAUGAAGCUGCCGCGGUAGCUAUAUCUACUGUAAAGGAGUUUUCAGAUGGCUUGAAAGAGGUGCACUUUGUUCUGUUCUCGGACGAGAUUUAUGAUGCUUGGUCAAGCAAAGCAAAAGAGCUUCUUCAGAAAUAAAAUGGAUAGCUCAUCAUGGACCGAUUGGCCGUGUAUUGAAGAAGAGGAGCUCCUCGUGCUCCGUUUCAAUGAAUGCAGAACUAGUGAAUAAUCACGGAUUCGCCAUUGAUGGAGCUGUGUAAAUUAAAGCUAAAGCAGUUCGAAUCCGUGCAGUGUGUGUUGUGAUAUUGUGGAACAGAAACCUCCUCACCAAUUUCCGAUGGCCCUCCGCAUUCUUCUCAGCUGCCGGACCCUAGCCGCCGCCGUGAAGCCCGAGCUCGGCUUCUCCGUUGGGCUCCGCAGCCUGGUGACCUUCUCGCUCCCCGAUCUUCCCUAUGACUACGGGGCCCUGGAGCCGGCGAUCAGCGGCGAGAUCAUGCAGCUCCACCACCAAAAGCACCACCAGGCGUACAUCACCAACUACAGCAAGGCCCUUGAGCAGCUCUAGCUGGCCAUGUCUAAGGGCGAUGCCCCCUCCGUCGUCAAGCUCCAGAGCGCCAUCAAGUUCAACUGAGGAGGACCCACUAGUGACAAAAGGACCAAGUUUGGUUUCUUUAAUUGGAAUAGAUGUCUGGGAACAUGCGUACUAUCUGCAGUACAAGAAUGUGAGGCCCGACUUUCUGAAAAGCAUAUGGAAGGUCAUCAACUGGAAGUACGCCAGUGAAGUGUUCGAGAAAGAAUGCCCUUGAGACUCGACGCAUUACCCUGAGCUUCUUCCCCAUUGUGAAACAGAGUGUUGUGCUACGGUAGAAGAGCUGUUCCUUGUCCCCGGUGGAGGUGCUUUCUGUGCAAACACUACCCUGUUCUGAUGUAGCGGUUGCUGAAUAAAGUCCAGCAUUUGCACCAAUGUUUUCCCGGCUGACAUAUUGCUUUUGGGUUAGGGUUCAAUAGCUUGUGCCCAUGUGCAUUAAGAUGAUGUUGGGACGUAGCUUAGGCCGACUGAUGAGCUACAAAAUAACUAAUAUGGCCUAUUGGAUGAACGGCAAUGAUGUGUAAAAAACAUAAUCAAGCGAGAGUGCCUAUUCCAGGAUCUCAGCCCCAGCCAAAUAUGCGCGUUGUCCAUUGGCCGACUUGGACCAUCUAUCUGUUGUGUCAUUUAUCGUAACUGCUCAUUAAUCUUCUAGAUUAGCUUUUGACA